GGCCCUCAGACGCAGAGUCUUGCAAUUUGACUGGAAAAAUGGUGUCUUUCCAGGGAUACCCAGCAACGCGGAGAUACCAGAGUGGCAGUGGGGCGUGGAAGCCACAGUUCAUGCGGUAUACAGGAAUGUAUAGACAGACACCCCCAGAAAAGAGGAAGGGGGCAAGCUGUUUUUCCCUCAGGAAGCCGGAAGGAUUGGCUGCUACAGCCCUGGAUUCACAGUUCAGGACUGGGGAAGGUUCAGCUGCACAGAAUGUCCUUGAAAGGCUGCCCCAGACCCCCUUGAUGAGGCAUGUGAUUCAUCUCCAGGUAGGUGCCCCUGUGUGAUGUGGCACAUCGUAACCCAAGUAAUUCUCUUAGGACAGUUCCUAAGGGUGGAGAAAGGAAGAGGACAUUCCCAUUUUGUUUGCUUUGCUCCCGAUCCUGGCAAAUUAACUCUAAAGGCAGUGACCACUGGGUCCAAGUAUGUAUAAAUGAUA
rnacentral:lncRNA from 1 species